rnacentral:rRNA from 1 species
GGAAUAUUGCACAAUGGGCGAAAGCCUGAUGCAGCAACGCCGCGUGAGGGAUGACGGCCUUCGGGUUGUAAACCUCUUUUAGUAGGGAAGAAGCGAAAGUGACGGUACCUGCAGAAAAAGCACCGGCUAACUACGUGCCAGCAGCCGCGGUAAUACGUAGGGUGCAAGCGUUGUCCGGAAUUAUUGGGCGUAAAGAGCUCGUAGGCGGUUUGUCGCGUCUGCUGUGAAAUCCCGAGGCUCAACCUCGGGCUUGCAGUGGGUACGGGCAGACUAGAGUGCGGUAGGGGAGAUUGGAAUUCCUGGUGUAGCGGUGGAAUGCGCAGAUAUCAGGAGGAACACCGAUGGCGAAGGCAGAUCUCUGGGCCGUAACUGACGCUGAGGAGCGAAAGCAUGGGGAGCGAACAGGAUUAGAUACCCCGG